rnacentral:rRNA from 1 species
CACGCCGUAAACGAUGGAUACUAGGUGUGGGAGGUCUCGACCCCUCCCGUGCCGUAGCAAACGCGUUAAGUAUCCCGCCUGGGGAGUACGGCCGCAAGGUUGAAACUCAAAGGAAUUGACGGGGGCCCGCACAAGCGGUGGAGCAUGUGGAUUAAUUCGAUAAUGACCGAAGAACCUUACCCAGGUUUGACAUGUCAGCGCCGUAUCCGGAAAUGGAUAUUCUUGUAGUAAUACAAGCGCUGUCACCGCUGU